CCAAGUUCCAGCUGUCAGCACUUUGGUUCCACUGUGGGAUCUGUUUCCUGUCUGUCCUCUUGGUCUAGAGGCAUUGAUGAUCCUUGACAUUCAGAAUUCUGAGCUUCAUGACACAUCACUGCUAUUGUCUCGGCCUUUACAAGGACCUUCACAUGAUUGGCAAGAAUUCUACCACUGACCUACAACCUAAGUCCCCAGGAGAAGAUUUCUGUACAAAAAAUCUCCAAGCUUAUGAGAAAACUGAACUGCCUAUUCUUCAGUCUGUGUGCUUGUUUCCUGUAGCCAAACUGCUGGGGCUUAUGAGAGAAAAAUAAGAGCAAGUUUAAAAGAAAAUCCAAAUUUCAACUUUUGUUUAAUAAAAAAUUAAAUGCAUAAC
rnacentral:lncRNA from 1 species